rnacentral:tmRNA from 1 species
AUCAUUGGAUUUUCAGCUGGUUUGACCUAUAAUAAAUAUGUCGGGUUAAACCGACUAUGACGAUAAACGUGCUGUGGAAUAAGCGAUACGGACCCGGGGGCGGUACCCGGCGGCUCCACCAUUAUCAAGUUUGCGGCUUUCGGGUCGCGCCGGUAUGGGGCCGAAAUAGGAUCGACGUGCGUAGUAAAGAUGGUUGCUUUCGUCCGGCAUUGUUCCGCCGUUAUCGGGCUAUUUUUAUAGAUGCUAAUGACAACGCACCCGCAAGGGUACAAGUCGCUCUCGCUGCCUAACAGCGGCCUGAGUAACUAGCAACUUCAAUCCCUUUCUGGUGACAGUAAAGGUGGGGCGCGGGGCAGGCCUAGCAACAGAACUGCCCCAUU